rnacentral:rRNA from 1 species
GACAGAGGAUGCAAGCGUUAUCCGGAAUGAUUGGGCGUAAAGCGUCUGUAGGUGGCUUUUUAAGUCCGCCGUCAAAUCCCAGGGCUCAACCCUGGACAGGCGGUGAAAACUACCAAGCUGGAGUACGGUAGGGGCAGAGGGAAUUUCCGGUGGAGCGGUGAAAUGCGUAGAGAUUGGAAAGAACACCAAUGGCGAAAGCACUUUACUGGGCUAUUACUGACACUGAGAGACGAAAGCUAGGGUAGCAAUGGG